rnacentral:lncRNA from 1 species
CCACCUCCACCUUCAAGGCAUAACCAGAGGCAACAGUUCUUUGAGCAUCAUCACUCGAGUAGCGGCUCUGAUUCCUCUUACGAGAGUCUAGUUGGACAGACCAGGAACCUUUCUAUGACUAGUGAGCCGAAGAAAGAGGAUAAACCAGAGGAUGUGCUUUUCAAAGACCUGGUUGAGUUUGCCAAAACCAGGUCCUCCAAGCCCAACAAUAGGUCGCUUUGAGUCUUUUGCUUGUGUAACAAGUGUGCUUUUAGCAAUCUUUUCUUUAUUUAUUUUUUUAAGUAACAUUAAAUGAUGGUAUUAGAGUGCCCCUUAUAUACAUUUCUGUGUGACGGCGAAUCACGUUCAAGACACAUACACUUUGCAUUAUGCACCAAGAACUAACAAUAGGAUGAAGCUAUUGAACAAGUCAAUUGUUUCUGAGUUGUUUUAUCAUUCCGUUGUAUUCUACUAUUCUUCAUGUUUCAUUCAUGUGGUUUUAUAAGCGUAGAAACCCGAAUAUGAAUAAUGAAAUCAGAGGAUGUGCUUUUCAAAGACCUGGUUGAGUUUGAGCAUCACCACUCGAGUCUAGCUAGUUGGACAGACCAGGAACCUCUGUAUGACUAGUGAGCCGAAGAAAGAAGAUAAACCAGAGGAUGUGCUUUUCAAAGACCUGGUUGAGUUUGCCGAAAACCAGGUCCUCCUAGCCCAACAAUAGGUCGCUUUUGAGUCUUUUGCUUGCGUAACAAGUAUGCUUUAACAAUCUUUUCUGAUGAUAUUAAUCUGCGCCCUAUUGUCAAAUUACAUCAGUUUGUGACGGCCAAUCACGUUCAAGACAGCAAAUACCAAAGCAAGACUUGAUCAUACUCUUGACAUUAUUUCUUGCUCCGAAUAAAGUUGCCGGCGCCGUGAAACGGCCAUUGCCACCAGAAUGCAGAGGGAAGGAGCUUGGACCUUGCAUCGAUUACCUUUUGAACCCAGGGGUGGAAAGGCACGUGGAACGCAACCUUGUUGUGAAAUAUAUCGACUGAAAAAUUCGAAACCAUGUUUGCGUAAAGUCUUUACGACGUCCCAGGAUCCUAAUCUAAACAAAGUUGCUUCUACUAUUUUUAGGAGGUGUGCUAUUAAUGGUUAUCCUUGCCGUCUUCCUCCAAAGAUCUAGUAGAUAUUGUUAUACAUGUAAUUCAAAGAAAGUAAUAACAAUGUAGCAAAGCAAACAUACAUAUUUUGAAAUUUGAAAUAAUAUGUACUAAUUAUGGUUGGUUUUAUAUGGUUCCCUUAAAUAAACUAUUAUUAUUAUUAUUAUUAUUGAUGUUACAGUUGAAUCUUAUUCUAUACCACGAAAAAAGUAAAAUAACUUACAAAUUAAAUAUAUCUAAACACAUUAACUUACAAAUUAAUUUAAUGUGUGAUUUGGGCUUCCCUUUAGGUUAAUGUCACCUAAACCGGACACAGUAAUAGUAGUAACACAUCGCUGUAAACUCUUUAGUAACUAACAUUUUGUGAUUGAAGGGGUGAUAUCCUCGUAUCUGACAUGAACACUGAUGUAAUGACAAGACAAAAUUUAUUUAUGCAUGCGGAGGUAAUUUAUGCAAGGCUAGAUUUCUAAACCCAACGGCUAGAAUAAGCCUUGUUGAAGCUCACAAACCAUUUACAAAAAUAUCAUAACCCUAAACACUUUAAACAAACCGUAAAUAUCAAAUUCCAAACCCGAACUGAUGGCUUAAUUAGCUUCCUCCUAUAUUUCACAAACCCUAUUUAAAAUUAAGUAUCUAAACCCUAAACACUUUAAACAAUAGAUAAAUAAUAAAAUCUAUAUACUCUAAAUGCUAAACCGUUAGAAUAUGACUUCUAAACCUCCCGCGAAAUAUAAAACCUAAUCCAAAUAUCCUAAACGCUAUUAACCGUCUUAAAUGUUCAUUAACCUUCAAAAUCUUUUAUAUAACGACUUUUUAAAACUUUCACAAGGUUUUGAAAACUUUUACAUGCUUUUAUAAAAUUUCAAGUUUUCACCCUAAACACUUUAAAUUGUAAAGAACCGUUGUUAGCGUUGUUAAAACUCAUAAGUACCCCUAAUAAAAUGGUUAUUGCAAAGUUGUAAUAAUCAUAUACAUAUAAUGACUGGAUUUUAGAGAUUAGUAUCCGAGAUUGGCAACAAGAUAUAUGUUUUGCCAAUAACGUUCACAUGUUGCAUUAUACGACAAAUACCAUUGUUUUUUUUUAGGAAUAAAAAUAGGAUUAAGCUAUUGAACAAUUCAAUUUUCUCAAUAAAAACAAACUUUGCAUUCUCCCCUUCUUCAUAGGAAUCGAUUCCCACUUUCCAAUUUUCCUGUUUUCUAGGAACUAUUGAUUCUAAUUUCUUAUUUAAAGGACAUAAAACAAAAUGAAAUAAAAACAGAGAAUACGCCUACAAAUUAGAUAAAGUCAUCUUAACCAGCUACAAUAAUGAAGAUCAUUCGAAUCAUUCCAUUGAUGCUCGUUGCCAUCAUCAUACUCUUAACAUCAUUUCCGGUUCCGAUCAAAACCGUCGGUGCUGCGAAUGUGCCAGUGCCAGCGGAUUGCAAAGGGGAGAUUGAACCUGGCAUCCAACCCUUAAUCAACGGAGCUCUAGUGCCACCAGGAGGUUGUUGCGUUAAAUACAGACUAGAAAAUUCGAGAUCAUGUUGGAUGAAACUCGUUACGUCCAUUGCCGGAUUAAUCAAUUUAAAUUUAAAUUUCCUAAUUUAUAAUUUAAAAUAUGAUUUUUCAGUAUUUUUUAUAAAAAUAAUACAAAAACAAGAAAAAUAAAUUUAAAAUUUAUAAAAUAUUUCAACUCCAUAAAUAAUUUAUAUAAAAUACAAAAACACAAUAAGAUUAAUGUUUUAUUGUUGAAAUAUGGUUUUUUUUUCAUAUUUCCCUACAAAAUCGUUUAUUAAACUCUCUUAGUCAAGUUUUUCAACCAUAACUGUCCUAAUAGAUAACAAAGCUAGCCAAUUUAAUCGCUCUUGGUAGAUCACAAAUAAUUCUUUAUCAGCUUUAAUUUCGAAAAACUUCUUUCAGCAGUAACAACCGAUACCAGAACUGUCAACAAUAUGCGAUAUAAAACUUCUGUGUUUUGAUAACAAUCUUCCAUUUGUUUCAAAAAAUUGAGCACUCCAUUAAGCUUCCCAACUUCAUUUAGUAUUAAUUCUCGGAGAAUUUUAAUUUCAUAAACAGAUCAUCACUAACUAUGGAUGCAUACCAUUCGUUAAAAAAAUCUUCAAAUCUGCAAAUUCUAUUUUCUUUCUAAAAUAUAAUUUGUUGCCCUUAACUAAUAUUUUUCUAGAGAAAAGUCUAUAAACAUUACAAUUACAAAUAUUAUUAUUUUAUAAAAAAUCUUUUAAAUUUUUUUUAUUUAUAUAUUUUUUUAUUAAAAAAAUUAACCAAAAUUAAAAAAUUGGAUGUCCUAAUCCGUCGUUUACCUCGCCUAUGCUCUGGGCCGACCUUGGUUACGUCCCGUGAUCCUAAGCUAAACCUAGCUGCUUAUUCUAUUUUUGAAAGUUGUAUCGCCGGUUGUCCAAAAAUCUAGAGAUUAUUACACAUAUAAUUUGAACAAACAUAUUUUGAAAUAAUGUAAAAAUUAUGGUUGGUUUUUUAUGGUUAACUAAAUAAUUGUUUUUAAUAUAUGUUUUUCUAUAUGUAUGCGUUUGCAAUGCUAUCUCUCUCUUUUUUUUGUGCAAAUACUAUCUCUCUUUUAGAAUCAAAUAUAGAUUUGUAAAGUGACCUAAUUAAAUAUCUAUAUGAAAAAAAAAUAUUAAUAACAGCAUACUAAAAUUGUCGAGGAGGAUCGUGUCUAUUUGUCAUAACCUCGUUUUCAGCCUCAUAUCUGCGACUACGAUGACCUAAUUUCCGUUUUCUCUCUUUUUCACGAUUUUAUUCGUUUUGUGUGUGAGUUUUGUAUGUUUUAUUAAAAUAUGUAAUAUAACGACAAAUCUAUUUAGGACCCAAUAUCUGAUUUUGAACUUAAAACCGAAUAAGCUCAAAUCGCAUUGGUUUUCUAUUGCCAAGCGGUUUACAGUGAUUAAGUGGCCGUGUUUUCAAACAUGUUCAUACCUAAAAUUGUUUAAAAUAACACAAACUAAUAUAUAAUUUUGAAUCUUGCUUAUAAGUUAAUAUAAAUAGUAUUUUUGGAGAGAAAAAGAAAACUAAAAGUCUACAACGUUGACAUGUAGGCUAAUUAAGUUGGAAUAAAAUAUCGCCAAUUAUGUAUAUCUCCAAUCCAUGACGUUUCUAACAAGUAAUUGAAGUAAUAUAGUAAAAAAGAUAUAGCCCAAUGGCUAAGAGAAUGAGGGUUUUGGAGGGAAAUUGAUGAGUCUAAAAUUGAACUACUAUGUUUCCAUGUCGGCUAAUUAACCCUUUUGCAUUUUGCUCCUUCUCUUCUAUCAAUCUUAUUGAUAUUCAGAUUAUGAACGUUUAGUUGGACAAGCUAUGUGUUUUUCAUUUUGAAACAAGUUCAUAUAUUCAUACCAUCGAAAAAUUUAAGCUCAUUUAGUUAAGCUCCAGAUUUUUUUUUUUUUUUUUUUGGGUGGGCUAUUAACCAUCGUAGGCUAGAAAAACAAAGCCACUACCCAAAACAGAGCUAAAGCCAAAAACAGAGAUAUAGCUUAACGCUUUAGCGCUUUUUUUUGUUCUUGUGUAACAAGUGUGCCUUAUUUGUCAAAUAAUGAGCGAAUCUUGGAGAUAGUAAACACCAACAUACGUUUUAGUUCUCCAACGUUACUCCGCGUAUACAGCUUUAGUGUUGUUAAAGAUCAUUUGCAGAAUCCUCUGAAGCUAACCUAAAGAUGGUGGGAUGCCAUUAAAGAAGAAGACUAACAAUAGGAGGAAGCUAUUAAACGACUCAAUUGUUUUGUUUUUUUUUUAAUUGUUUUUUGAAAAAAAAUAUAUAAUACAGUAGAUGAUUUACCAUCCUCCCUUCUUUAUAGGAAUCGAUUCCCCACUUUCCAUAUUUCCAUGUUUUUAAUGAUCCAUUGGUUUACAGCUACCUAUUUAAAGACCUAAAACAAAAUAAAUAUAAGCAGAUGAGAUCAUUUUCUACAAAUUUAAAGUAAAUCCAUCUUGACCAGUUUCUAAUCCAUUAGACAUGAAGAUCCUUGCAUUGAUGCUCAUUGCCAUCAUCAUACCCUUGAUGAUGAUAUCAUUUCCGGCUUCGAUCAAAGCCGCCGGCAGAGGAGGUGGCAGCAGCUCCGUUGGUGGGGGUGGUGUUGGCAUUUCGGGUGGGCGAUUUGGCGGAAGUGGCAGCAGUGGCGGCAGUAGGAUGGGCGGGGGCUAUGUUCGUGGCGGCAAUAUGUGGGAUGAAGAAGAAGAAGAACCUGAGACGGGUAGGUAUGGUGCUAAUCCUAGUAGCCCUAUAGGUAGGGCUGGUCCUGUUCCUACAGGGGGAUAUGGAAGUAGUGGGACAAAAUAUCCAAAGCCUCAAAAGGGUGGAGGGGACCCGGGAGUGGCGAUUGUGGUGAUCCCCAAGCCACUUGUGAAGGAGCUGCCAAAAGAAUGCAAAGAGGAUCUUAGAGAUUGCAUCACUAAGCAUAUAUCCGAAGGUGGGGAGGAGCCUAAACACCGAGGGUCAUGUUGUGUUAAACUUAAAAACUCAAUACCAUGUGUCUGUAAAUUCCUCACGUCCAAGGAUCCAAAGGUGCAAAAAGCAGCUAAUGGUGUGCUUAGAGGUUGUCAUUACCGUAAACCCGUUUGUAUUAAGAUGCCAAUGCCACAAGAAUGCAGACAAGAGGUUAGACAUUGUGUCAAUACGCAUCUUUACGGAACUGCCGGCCAGCCUAGAUACCGAGGGGCGUGUUGUAUGAAGUUUAAAAACUCGAAAUCUUGUGUGACUAAAUUCCUUGUCUCCCCGGAUCCUAAGCUAAACGAAAAUGCUAAUGGUAUACUUCGAUGUUGUCAUUUCCGUAAACCCUAAUGGAUAAACAACUAAAUUAGCAAGCUUAUUUUGAAAUUUUGUACAAAUUAAUCAUAUGGUUUUUUUUUAAUCAGUAUUGUUAUUGAUUUUUGUAUAUAUUUUUAUAUAUAUUUAUACGUGUAUGUAUCUCUCUUUGAAAAUUAAAAUAUACACUAGCAUGGUAUGUGUAAUUUUAUUUAAUUUAAAAAAAGGUUGUUGAAGUCUUAUGCUUUAUGAGAAGGCUUGAAAAAAAAAACAUCUCAACAAAUGUUUAGACAAGUGUUUUCUCAAAUAUUAUAUUAGGAAUUAGUUAGAUGUAUACCAUUUUUUUAAAAAAAAAAUUCCAACGCGAUUUUGGUCACAAUUUUAUUAGUAAAAUGUAACAAUCAAAUGAUCAAUUAGAAAAACAAAUUAAAAAUGCAAAACAUCACUUACUUUGAAAACGUCUUUGAAUAUGUAACGACAACAACUUCACUGUUUCGAGGACUUUUUGUCUUAUAAAAAAAAAGUAAAUUUCAUGUCUAAAUAGCAAACGCAUGGCAGUCCGAAAAUACGACGAGGAAUUGUUCUCUGAAGAUUUUACCGCUACUAGUAAGGAGUGACAAAACACUUUGUGUGAUAGCUAUGAAUUAACGUAUAACAAACUUAAAAAUGGUUGUAGAUAAACAAGUAGUCUUUUCAAAACUAAUACUCCAUAAAUUUUGGACCGUCUAGAGAUGUUUGAUAGCAGCAGUGAUAUGCCUAUGCAUGUUUGAUUCGUCCAUAUCAGUUUUUAAAAUGUAGUUUACUGGUUUUAUUUGUUUGAUCUAUUAACUAGAGAGAGAAGGGAAAACUAAUUCUCAUUAAUUCUCUGUAAAUGUGUUUGAUACAUAUAUAUACAAGAUGGUUAUAUGGUUAAGUAAAAGGAAGCUUAACCAAGAUAAACUAAUAAUACAUAUAUGGUUAAUACACCCCCCUCAAGCCGAAGCUUUUUCCGGAAUGUAGAGGCUUGAAAGUGAUAACCUCUUCAGUAGAGAGUGAAAAGGACUUGGAUGGAGAGGCUUGGUGAGAAUAUCUGCAAGUUGAUUCGUUGUGGAGACAUGAAUUAACUUCAGAAAAUCACUCUUUACUUCAUCUCUGGUAGUAUGGCAAUCUACUUCCACAUGUUUGGUCCUCUCAUGGAAAACUGGAUUGUUAGCAAUAUGCAUUGCCGAUUUGCUGUCACAAAAAAGCUUAGUCUUCGAGGAGACAGGUAUAUGAAGAUCCUGCAACAACUGAAAGAACCAUUUCAACUCGCCUGUAGCUACAGCAAGGCCACGAUACUCAGCUUCAGUACUACUCCUGGCCACAGUCUCCUGCGUCUUCGACUUCCAUGUAAUGAGGGAAUUGCCAAGGAAAAUACAUAAACUAGUAACCGAACGCCUUGUAUCAGGGCAUGUAGCCCAAUCUGCAUCCGCAAAACCAUUGAGGCAAAGAUCUGUAUCAACUGAGUAGAAAAGACCUUGUCCAGGGUUCAUCUUCAAGUAUCUCAAUAUAUUGUGUGCCGCAUGAAGAUGCAUAUCAGUUGGACAGGAUAGAAACUGGCUAAGACGAUGAACAGCAAACGUAAUAUCUGGACGAGUGAUGCAGAGAUAUUGAAGUCUCCCGAUCAAUUCUCUAUAAGGUGUAGCAUCAUCCAACCGUUUUCCAGUUUCUUUACUUAGUGACACCUUCGGAUCCAUGGGAACGGACCUUGGUUUACAUCCUAGCAGACCCGUAUCCUCAAGAAGGUUCAAGCAAUAUUUCCUUUGAGAUAUAGAAAUACCCUUUGAAUUCCUAGCUAUCUCAAGACCUAAGAAGAAUCUAGCUGGACCUAGAUCUUUUGUCUUAAAAUGUUUCGCCAGUGUCAACUUAACAGAUACUACGGCUCCAUCAUCAUUACUAACUAUGAGAAUAUCAUCAACAUAGAUUAAGAGAGCUAUGAUUGAUGUACCUCGAAUUUUCACCAAAAGUGUGUUGUCAGCAUAUGACUGAAGAAAACCAUCAUCUGUUAAAGCCUUGGUAAGGCACUUGUACCAUUGGCGGGAGGCUUGUUUGAGUCCGUAAAUGGACUUACGGAGUCGACACACUGGAUUUGGCGGUAACACUCCUGAAGUUGGUGUAUAUCCUUGCGGCAAACUCAUGUAAAUCUCCUCGUCAAGAUCACUGUGGAGAAAUGCAUUUGAGAUAUCCAUUUGAGUCGUGCUCCAUCCUUGUCUCGCAGCAAGACCAAGAAUCAAUUUAACACUAGCCAACCGUGCAACUGGGGAGAAUGUGUCAAAAUAGUCCACCCCUUCUUGUUGUGUGAAGCCCUUUGCAACAAGGCGAGCCUUGUAGCGUUCAACAGUACCAUCGGCAUGGUACUUAAUCGUGAAGACCCACUUGCAGCCAACCACAUUUUUGCCAGGAGGUAAACUUUCAACAUCCCAAGUUCUAUUAUCCUCCAUAGCAUGAAGUUCCAGGUUACAAGCAUCCGUCCAUUCUUUAGAUGCCAUAGCCUGUUUGAAAUUCUUCGGUUCUUUUUCCAUUGAAAAUGAGAGAACAAUAGACUGAUAUAUGGGAUUUAGCUUUGAGUAAGUCAGAACAGAAGAAAUGGGAUAUGGAGUAGAAAAAACCUGUGUAGAAUGGGGAGGAGUAGAAAUUUGAGUGAGAGAGCAAUGGUAAUUAGACAAGUAACUAGGUACCUUUGUGUUGCGCUUCGGUCUAGCAUUAGGUAGUGAAGUAAUACCGGUUUCUGUAAUAACAGGGGUUAGAAGUAUUUCCUGGACAAAGAGAAGGAGAUUGUGAUGCAGAUGAUGAUGUAUGAGAUGGAGGAAUAUCAGGGGAAGAAGAAUGAUGCAUGUCAGGUAUAUGAGAUGAGCUAGAAUGUGGAAUUGUAACAUGUUCAUCUAAGACAGCAGGAAUUGGUAAAGGAAGUAUAGAGCUUUGGAAAAUAUCCACUGAAUGAUUAUCAGAGAUAGUGGCAAAAGGAAAUGUAGAUUCAUGAAAAACUACAUUCCUAGAGACAGAUAUAAGAUUCGAAUCCAAAUGUAAGACUUUGUAUCCUUUAUAUCCUGUGGAAUAUCCUAAGAAGACACACUGAUCUGCACGAGGACUAAACUUGUUCCUAUCUUUUUGUAAAGUAGAAACAUAGCAUAAGCACCCAAAAGAUCGAAGAAAAGAGUAAUCAGGGGUUUUCUUUAGUAAAAGUUCAUACGGGGUUUUGUUCUUGAGAAGAGCAGAUGGUAAUCUGUUAAUGAGGAAGACAACAGUCAAAAUGCAUGAACUCCAGUAUAUUAAUGGCACUUUCGAUUGAAAUAAAAGAGAUCGUGCAACAUUUAACAAAUGCUGAUGUUUUCUUUCAACAACUGAGUUCUGUUGUGGUGUGUAUGCACAAGAAAAUUGGUGAACAAAACCAUAUCGAACAACUAGAUUAGAAAAAGCGAGUUCAGGAGCGUUGUCAGUUCUAAUAGCCUUAAUAACAGUAUUGUAUUGUGUGUGAAUAUGAGUAAUAAAGGAAGCAAAACGUUGGUAAACUUCACUUUUGUAUUUCAUCAAGAAUAUCCACGUUACACGAGUACAGUCAUCGACAAUGGUUAAAAAGUACCUAUAACCUUCAACAGACUCCGUAUUAAAAGGGCCCCAAAUGUCUAAAUGAAGUAAAUCAAAUGGAAGACUAGACAUGUGAUUAUUAGACUCAAACGGUAAUCGUUUUUGUUUAGCUAAGGGACAUAUUUGACAAUGAGACUCAGAGGACUUACUAGACUUGGACAGAGGUAAAACAUUGGACAAUUGAGCUAAUCUCUCAUAAGAUGGGUGGCCAAGACGUUGGUGCCAAAGCGAAUUAUCAAGCAUCACGGAUCUAGAGAAAAAUGCAGAUGAAGGAGGAUUGUGAAGUUGUAAUAUGUAGAGAUUGUGAAUGAGAUGUCCUCUACCAAUCAUCAAGCCCUGAAUAGACUCCUGGAUGAAACAAGAAUCAAUGUAAAAAUGUGCUGAACAAACGCCAUUGUGAAGUAAACUACUGACAGAUAAGAGGUUGAAUUUGAAUGAAGGGACAUGCAAAACAUUAUGUAAUGACAGGGAUGGUGAUAAAUGUACUGUGCCAGUGUGUGUAAUCUCUUCUCUAUGUCCAUUCGGAAGUGAUACUGUUAUUCCAGAAACCGAUACUAUGUCACUAAACAAAGCCAAAUCAAAACACACAUGACAAGUGGCACCACUGUCAAUUAUCCAAGAACCAGGGGGGAGAUUAUUAUAUAGAGUGGAUAAACAUUUAUGUUGGAAAGUCAGUCUAUCAUUUUCAAAUCUCAAUGAAGAAGAUGGAAAAGGAAUGAUACCAGAUGAGGAUUGAGCAGCCAUAAUUCCAUGCUCUGUAAUGGUAGCAGUCGGUGCACUAGACGAUGGAUUGUCUGUAGGAUCUGAGACUUUAACUUGUGCACUCAGCUGUUGAAUGAGAGUCUGAACCUGCUCCGGGUUCAUGUUACUAAAGUCGAGAUUCAAAGGGGAUUGAGCUGGAGGUGGCAUGUAUGGGUAAGCAUCAGUCAUCAUAUUUGCCACAACUUGUGGUCUUGGACUUUCAAAUCUUCCUCGGGGUUGAAAAGCAGGAAAUUGUCCUCUUGGUUGAGAUUGAGGUUGAGUAGGGGCGAAUGGUCUUUGACCUUGAUUGUAAGCUGAGGAAGCACUCUUGUAGCCAGGAAUAUAUCCAGGGGGAUACCCAUGUAGUUUGAAGCAUCGUUGAAUAACAUGUCCUGUUUGACCACAAUGAGUACAAACUGGUCUCGUUUUGGGUCGAUAGUUGUUCUGUAAGGCAUAUGCUGCAUAAUCCACAUUUUCUGAGGUGUCCUGAGUAGACUGAGUAGGACCAGAACUUUGGAAAACCACAUUUUCAGGUCUCGUUGGCUUCAUUGACUUUUGUCUCUCAUCUUGUGCUACCAUAUUAUAUGCAUCUUCAAUUGACGGUAUUGGCUUGAGAACAAGAAUAUGUCGUCGAAUUGACUCAUAACAUUCAUUUAAUCCCAUCAAAAAUUUGAUGACUCUGCUUCGAAGUUGCAUCGAUUCCCAUUGAGUUGCUGCAUUGCACUCACAUUUUCCACGAGUACAUACUGGUAACUCAACAUAGUUGUUGUAUUCUUCCCACAGUGUGAUGAGUUCCGUAUAGUAAGAGCUAACAUCCAAAGAUCCUUGAUGAAUAUUACUAAGCCUUUGUUCUAUCUCAAAGAUUCUAGGAGCAUCAUCUUGUUUGAAUCGAGCUAAGAGAUUUUUCCAGAUACCUGAAGCCGUGGAGAUGAACAAAAGACUUUGGCCAAUCUUCUUAGAAACCGAAUUCAUGAGCCAUGUGGCCACCAUAUCAUUACACCGGGACCAAGAUCCGGCAUCUCUAUCACCAUCUCUAGGUUUAGGAAUCGUUCCGUCGAUGAACCCUAGCUUAUUGCGGACAUUGAGCGCCAUACGAACCGAACGUCUCCAAGAAUGAAAGUCUGUGCCAGUGGUGAGUCGAUCGGAAACUAAGAUAAGUCCAGCAUGAUCAGAACUAUGAAGAUAGUAAUGAUUUUCGUAUUGGUCCAUCUGUUGUGAGGUACCACCCGAGGAUUGAUGUAAAUCAGGAGCCAUCGCAAUGUGCGAGAAAUCAAGAAUCUGAACAAUUCAAUGUGAAUCGAACGAAAGAAAGAAGAUGUAAGUGCUGAAAAUGAAGAAGAACAGCAAGAACUAGGUCAAACAAGAAGAAGAAGAACAGAGACAACGAUCGAUGCAAUCGCUGAUUGUAGAACCAGACAAACGUUAACGAGAAUCUCAACAAGAAUCAAAUUGAUCAAAUCUCUUCGGGAAGUGCUCAUCGAGAUGAAUCGAAGCUUAAUCGAAGAUGAAAUCAAGCUUGAUUGAAGAAAAAAUCGCGAUGAAGAAGAUGAAGUCGUUACGCGGAAGAGAGAGUGUUAGAGCUCUGAUACCAUAUUAACUAGAGAGAGAAGCGAAAACUAAUUCUCAUUAAUUCUCUGUAAAUGUGUUUGAUACAUAUAUAUAUACAAGAUGGUUAUAUGGUUAAUUAAAAGAAAGCUUAACCAAGAUAAACCAAUAAUACAUAUAUGGUUAAUAUGAUCGGCUCAGAAGUUGGGGAUUGAAUAUCUCUUCGGCUUGUGUUCUUUGUUCUAACAGAAUAUCCCAUGAUCAUCUAUUAUUUGGCUUCGAUUAAUCUCUCCAAAUUUGGCAUGAUCUAACUUCUAGGAUAUGGAAAAAUCUUCCUAUAGAUCUAUUGAGUUCUGCAUCAUGGAUUCUUCAGCCUCGACCACCUCCACAAUCCUCAGCAUCUGUUAUCAUCAAAGUUAUCAAACAUAAUCUAUUUAGUUAACCUUUAAAAUACUUACAUUUAUAAUUAUACAUACAAGCUACUUAUCUAUAUUUCAUGUAAAAAUAUUUAAAGUGGGGGAAAAAUGUGUAAAAAUAUGUAGUCUAGUUAUUAUAUUAAUGUCGUUGCUGAUUGUGCAGUUGUUAAAUAAUGAUAUGAAGAUAUUACUGUAUUCGUUUAAGAUGCUAGAAGAAAACUUAAUCAGGAAAGCCCAGUAAUAACGUCCAAUGUCAGGGCCCAUCAUGUGUUUAGGGUUUCAAAAGGAAUUCGAGCUAUAUGGUCCCUCUCAUUCAAUAGCGAGACAUUCCUUUUAUGUUCACUUCCUUUGAUCGAGUUUUUUGUUUGUUUGUAUAGACUGAUAAUCAGCAUCAAAUACUAGCCGUAAUUGAAAAUUAAUUUUGAUAUUAAAAAGAAAACAAAAAAAAAACAUGUGUUCUAUCUUUAAUGGUGCAAAAUCAAAUAAUAUUUUUUUUUGAUGAGAUAUACGUGUGUAUAUCGUAUGUUUAAGUUGAUUUUUUUUUGCUCAUGAAAAGAAAAUACUGUCGGGAUUUUUGUAAUUAAAUGUGGUUUGUUUCUCAUGUGGAUUUGGAAUUUUCCCAAGGACCUACAAGCAACCAUAUGAUAUUAAAUGCGUGAGGCAAUAAAUUAGAAAAAAGUAGGACUACCUGAAUCUAUCCAACAUUGUUUUAUAUUACUUGUCUUUUCAUUUUUGCAUAUUCAUCAGCUCUGUCGGCAAACUGAGGUCCACUUUGAUAAGUCUUUAACUUUUUUUUUUUGCAUUUCUCCUUUUGUUGAGUGAGCUCCAUUAUAUUACCCCAUAUACAUUAUAGUAUACAUAAAAAGGAGCUCAGCUCGAUCAUAUUACUUGCAACUUUUUUCGAUUUUUUUUUAUAUUUAGGUUAUAUCUAUUUCGAUAAUGUAAGGCGAGUAGAUAUGUGUGUGUUUUAGUGUGCAAGUGUUUCUGUCGGUGAAAUUGAGCGUAAAUCUUGGGCGCUUAUUUAUUAGCCGAGUUUUGCGUUAGACGAAAAGAUUGAAUUAACCAUCAACUACUAUAUGUAAUACUACAGAGCUUUGUUAGUUUAUCUUUUUAUUCUCUAAUCCAGAUCGUAUUUGGGUAAAAUUGUGAUUAAUUAAUUACAAACAUACCUAAACAGUACUGUAAAUUGUAUGAACGUAAGACUAGAGAUGUCAGAUCGUUGAAUAAAUGUCUCAUUUGACUUUUUACUUAUUUAGACUAAUGAUUUUCAUUAAAAUAUGAUGCAUUUCCCUAUUCAGAAUCAGAACUAACAUUUUUUUUUUUAAUAUGGUUUCUCAGUUCAUAGUUUAGACGUUUGUUUUUCAUUACUUUACGAUUUAUAUGGAUAAACAGUAUUGAUCGUAGAACAUCAAAAUCAAGAAAAAAAAAUAAUAAUAUAUAUAUUCAUAAGUUGAAUAAUCUUAAAAACAUAAUUCUUUUUAACAGAAUCAUAAUUUAAAUAGUUAAAAACACCAAAAGCUACUAUUUAAUACACUAGUGACUACACUAGACAAUUGUAAUUUACUCGUAACUGAUAACUUGUUUUUACAAGUUUUUAAACAAAUUAACCCAUCCAAUAGAAAGGGAGAUAUGAUCUAAUCGCUGUUCUCAAAAUAAAAUGAGAAGACAGGACCGAGGCAGUGGGACACACGGAGUAAAAGUUAAUUUUUCAAACUCAGUGUGGCCCCAGAUCAUCUAUCUUAUUCUUUCCUAUUAUAGUAUUUAAUGCUUCAAUCCAUUUUCCCCUUCUUUAUUUGUUUUUCUCCUUUUUCUUUUUUAAUUUUACUUUAUUUCAAUGUUCCUCACAACUGCCAUUUGAAAAUUAGAAGUACAUUUCUUUCUUACUAUAUACACUAUCAUUUAAUUGGUUGUUUUAUUAUAGCAACUGCAAAAUAAACAAUAAAACAUAUUACAUAUUAAUAGUUGUUGUUACUGAUUGUUGUCACCAACAACUGUGAAACAAAAGAAAGCCAUAAUAUUUUGCGUAUUAAUUAACAUCUACUAUGUGAAUAGCCUAGAUACCCGUUCAACAGUAUAAAACAUCCUACCCACUCCCACCUCUAGACAACACAAUCUUUCAUGCCUUUAAUCAAGCAUCCUCAUUCUAAAGUACACCAAUCUUUAUUAGAUUUUAUUCAAUUCAAUAGUAAUAAAUUAUACUCCUAGAAAACAUUAAAGUCGCCAUGUGGAUGCUUAUAAAGCACAAGAAGAAUCCUAAUAAGUCUCAAUUCAUACAACUAUUUGAAAAGCUAAAGUUAAUGGGUCUUCUUGUUUUGCUCUCCUACGGUAAAUAGGAAAACUUGUUAGCAGGAGAGUAGUUAAUUAUGAUAAAUGGUGCAGUAGAAACCCAAACUUUUAUAGUUUUCAAAUUCAAUAAAUAACAAAAUGAAAAGUAGACUCGAAAACCAAAUAUUCCUUAUCCAAUUAUAUUUGUUCUGUUUCGCAAGUGUCAAUUUAAAGUUAAUUGUGUUUCAUAAAUUAAGAUUUAUCCAAAGAUAGUAAAAUUGAGUCAAAUAAUGAGGCAUAUCAGCAUACGUGAAUAAUUUUUAAUAUUUGUAAAAAAUGUCAUAAUCAAAUCCCCUCUAUACCAACUUUAUAUUUUAGUGUUAUAUAACUGAUCGAUAGUAAAUUUUUUUUUUUAUAUAAUAUAAACCAGUCUCCCUCCCCCUUUAUAUUGGAUACUCACCUUAAAAGACGAAACACUUAGUUUCUGUAUUUCUUCUUCAUCUUCCAUCUCACCUGUUUUCUAAAAGCAAGCCUUUUCAAUAAUGGGCAAUAAACGCAUAGAAGCAAUGAUGAUUUUAGUGGUAGUUAUGAUGAUGUUCUCAUGGAGGAUUUGUGAAGCGGAGAGCUUAAGAAGACACACGUCAUCCUCAAGACGAGGAAGAUUUUUUAAGGUGAGAAGACCAAAUCCACUACAUCAUCAUCAUGGUUUCAUUGACCAUGAUUAUCCUCCAGAAAGUUUCUCAGGAUUUUUGCCCAAGACAAUGCCAAUUCCACGUUCUGCUCCUUCCAAGAAACACAACGUCUAUGGUUUACAGAGUACUAAGUCCCAAACAUAUCCAUGAUCUUUAUCACCAAGAUCACUUACACAUAUUACAUAUAUACAUACAUAGCUAUAUAUGCAUGAUACAUACCUAUAGCAUAGAGAUCUAGUUAUGUCUUUAAUUUCUUCUCUCUCCCCUUUCGUGUUUUCUUUUUUAAUUUUUAAGAAAGUUUUCUGGGAAGGAAUUGUUGUAUUUGCUAAUUCCAUCGAGAAUAACCAAAUUAAGGUCGAGCUAUUUUUGGAUGCACGCCUACUUAUUUUAACCCUACUUAGCUUGGGUAAUUAUGUAUCCUAUAUGCAAUUGUGAACUCAUGAUUGAAUCAUUGUAAUGCAUCAUGCUAAUGUACCUUCUCCGUUCUAUCACUAAACCACCUAUGUUCUACUUGUAUUUUAUUUUUUAAAGUCAAGAAGCAUUUAAUGCUUAGUAAUGAUUUUUCUCAUAGUAUUAAUCACCAACAAAUACUCCAGAAACAAAAGAUUACCAGAAUUGACAAAAAAAAAAAAACUAAAUACUAACAAGUUUUAUAUAGAUCUCGAAGAAAUAAAUAUGUCAUAUUAAUGACCACCUACAAAAUUUCUUCGGACACGUUCAGACAUAUUACAUGGGACCUGCAGACGCUAAAUUUUUCAUAAAUGAAGUCACAAAUUAAAUGAAGUCAUCAUAAAUGAUGCGACGACAUAUAUAUAUAUAUUAUUGGCAUAUACUUUAUGCUAAUGGAAAUUAUUAUUUCUUCAAAAGGAGAAAACAUAGAGUAGUUUGCAUACAAAUGACUGUAUAUGUACCAUCAUAAAUCUUAACGUUGACUUAAGUUUGUCUUGUAGUUUCGAUUUGAUAAUCAAAAAGAACUUUGAAAUGUUGUAGUGAGAGGAUACAACACAUUUAUUAGCAGCACCAACUAACCAACCAUACAUUAGUGAUCUUAUUGCAGCCAAACACUCCAGUUCGACUUUUGCUAUAGCUUAAUUACCAUUGCAAUUUGUAAUUAAUGAAUUGAGGUUUCCAUUAUUUUGUGUCUACUUGACUGCUUCUGCGUUAGCUUUUAGUCUACAUUUUUUAACAGAGACGAACACACAGAGUACUUAAUCAUGUUAAGGAGAAAUUAUGUGUGUUUUAUACGUAAACGCUUAAUGCAAACGCAAAAGUUAAUUAUGAGUUGCGUUUAAAACAAUGGAGACAUGUAAGCCUUACAAAAAUAAAAUCUAAGAGCAUGAAUUUCUUUAUUAGAAAAUCAGAACUAACCGCAUCAUAUGUAUUGUAAAGUUAUACUAGUAUGAGCUAACUAUAUGAGUUACUUGGGCGACAAAAAUAAAAUAAAAUGAGAUUUACCUGAAAAGGCCUUUAGGUUGUUUCCAAAGCAUAGAAAUUUUUAAUAUACAUAUAUAUAUAUAUAUAUUAUGUAGUAUGAAUAAAAAGGUCGAAAGUUGUGAUGGAAUAAUUUUAGGUUUCCUAUAAGUUAUUUUUUUAGUUACUGCUUUAAGACAAUAUGACAAGUUGAUAAAAGCGUCGGUCAACAUAUUAACUAAUCAGAGUUCAAAAAAUACUAACGCAAAAAUGAUGGAUAAAAUUGAAAGAUAAGUAAAUAUAAUGAAUGACCCAAAUUAUUGUAAAGUCUAAAAUGGUAGACAAAAAGAAUAUAUGAAGAAUGAGAAUGAGAAAACUGUAAUAGCAUUGGAAGUUGAUGUAUUUUAGCUGCCAAAAUUCGUUGUGGGUUGACUUAUAUUUUGAUAACACAUUAUCACCUUUAGUCACACAAUUAGGUAAUGACAAACGGUUGUCAUUAGUCUUUUAAUCACAAAAGUCGACAUUUUUUCAAUCUAAAAAGUCUGAAGACCUUGAUUUGGCAAUUCGAAUUCGAUACUUCAACGGUGUUCUCAACAUAUAUAUAUAUAUAUAUUGUUGCUAAAGUGAUCUGAGAACGGGACGAUCAUUUUAUAUAUACAACAUACAUGUAGAGGACAUUACUCUCUCACAAUAUCGAAUCGAGAUAGACAAAGAACAAAAAACAAAAAGGCAGAAGAGUUAGGUUGAACAAUGAAGAGUUUCGGGGCAAAAUGUGGAGAAACUUAAAAUUAUGGGGCAAAAUCAUACAAAUGUUUAUAUGACUACUACUGAGGAAGAACGUCUUCUUCUUCUUCGUCUCUGUCUCUAUGCGUUUGAGAAGCUGUUGAUUUCUCCGACACUCUCACGUUAUAUUUCUCAUACACUUUUUCCCGAUUCUCUGACCACCAUGUCUCUGCUUGAUGUUCUCCGAAUCUUCUUCGGCUGCGAAAAAGAAAAAAAAAGAAAGAAAUUCACAACCUUUAGCAUCAUCAGACUGACUGGUAAAAAGUUGGAAUGUAUAAAUCAAGAAUAUGAGCAGAUGCUAAACCUGAAGCGGACUCUUCUUAGAUCUCUAGUUCCAUCGUGGAGGGCGACAAGGGUUAUAUACACGCCAGGCUCGUACUGUUCGAUCCACUCUGCUUCUACCUGAUUAGUAUUGUUGUUAACAGCUCCUGUUUGGCUCGAACCAUUGUCGCUGCUGUUGUUUUGAAACUGAAAAGGCUCGUGUCUCUCACUGACUACUGACCCGCUGCUGCUAAGCCGUGGAUCUGCUGGAUAAGCGUUGUUGUUGUUUCUUUCGCUGGCUCGAGGCGUGUGCUUUGGUGAUUGGAGAUUGGACCAAGAUGAUGCAUUUGCAAAGGCAAAGUCAAAAGGAGCAACUGAAGAUAUAGAAGAAGUCAUCGACUCCGACCUUGAAGGAUGGAAACCAUUUUCUUCAGGGAAAAAAUGGAAACCGUUGUGGUCAAAUCCGUUGGCGAGUUUUAUACUCUCACCAGGAGGCAACUUCUCAGCUACAUCCUUGAGCUGUUUUUCCAGAAACCAAAAGAUAGCUUAUUAUGAGUCAACGGAGUCUUCCUUUGUGAGAUCUCAAGCUUCGAUGUAGUUGACAACAAAUAUAUAUAUAUUUGAAAACCGAUUACAUUAUACCUGCGCUAUGAGCGACUUUAUUGCCUCUUUUGCGGCUCUUGAUUUGGCAGAUUCCUCCUCUGCCAAUGCUAAAGCUUCCUGAGUCUUCUUAACCGAAUUCUGGAGCUCCACUUCUUGGAGCUCACACUUUUGAAUCAGACUGUCAACCUAAACCACCAAAUCAGAUGAAUGAAUGACAAUAUUACCACAUCCGAUACAGAAAGUGAGUGACUUGAGUGCCCUUCUCUGAGAGAGAUGCAUGUACAGUACCUGUGUUCGUAACUUAUUGAUCUCCUGAUUCAGCAUUUCAUUGGUCUUUUUCAUGUUAUCUGCUAAACCCACCGGAAAAUAGAUUCCGGAAGUUGAAGGCAUAGGAGUGGCAGAGCGUGGAGGACUAGAUCUCCUAGAGAAAGGUGACACCGACCUGGAGCUAAUAAUACCUGACUGAGCCGGAGCUAGCUUUGGAGUAGACCUUCGCAUGUCGCCUAUGUUAGACUGCACAGCAUCUUUCAGCUGCAGCAAGGAAGGCAGCUGAGAGUUACGACCGAGUGAAAAAUUGUCAGUCUUCUUCCCUUGCUUGGCCGCUUUGCUAUCAAGUUGCUUGAUCAAGUCCAUGUUGGAUGUACCAAAUCUUGCUAAUCUUAUUUCAGUUUUGUCCAACCUGUCUUUGUUCUCUCCUGAAAGACGAGGCACAGCGUUGUUUCUCCUGUUAGUAUCGUUUACCUCAGACACUUUGCUGAGCUUAACGUAACAAGAGUCGCACACACGAUACAGUCUUCCCGCGCUUGGAGCCAAUGCAGCGCGGAAUGCCUUUUUGGAACUGCAUGAGUGGCAGUGCACGAGCCCACAGUUGUAGCAGUUAUGCCUUUUCCGUGUAAACCCAAAGGCCAGUCUACAGGUCGAGCACUGAGACUGCUCAGCACCAGAGACCCAUUUGUGGAGACAUAUGGCUGCAGUGUAAUUCGAUCCGCAUGCAAUGUACUUGACGUGUCUGUCCUUCAAAGCUUCCACAAGAGUUGGCACUUUUCGAUCCUCAAGAUCACCAUGGCCUAAUCUCCCGUUGGCUCCUUUACCCCAUGUGUAGACUUCAUUUCGAGAUGUUAAAGCCGCCACGUGAUACGCACCGCAAGAGAUCUCCUCCACAAAUUCACUCGCGAGCUUGUCCUCCACCAAACACGGUAACUUCCCGUCCGUCUGAAAAUUCCCAAGCUGGCCAUAAACUGUACUCCCCAUCGUGAACACUUGUCCAGACGUGGUCAGACCAACUGUCAAACUGUGUCCACAUGCAAUCUUGUGGAAGUUGUAGUCAAUCAGUGCAGGCACACAUGUUGGCUUAAGCCUAGGAUCCUUGUCACCGUGUCCAAGACGGUUUUUGUCUCCAUCACCCCAUGUGAACAGUUUUCCAGACGAUACGGAGCUUGAGUUCGACUGUGUGACAAUGAUCUCCACAACAGCAGCAGUGUGCCAAACCCCGCAUGAAACCGCAAUCGUUCUCAACCCUGAUAAAGAUUCAACUUCCCUUGGAUACUGAACUGUUUCCCUGUCACCGUGCCCUAAGACACCAAACGUUCCAUCUCCAAAUGUAAAAAGCCUCCCAUAUGAUGUUACCAAAGCAGUAUGCCAAGGUCCACAAGUUACCGAAGCCACAUGGAGCCCCUCGAGAGAUCCCGCGAUUCUCUUUGGUAUCCAGUGACUGAUAUCAGAGCCAUGCCCUAAAAGCCCCACAUUAUGUGUACCGUCACCCCAGGUAUAGAGCUCUCCAGCCAGAGUAACAGCACAAGUGUGGAAUUCUCCACAAGCAACGAAGUCAACAGAUGAAGCAGCUGUGAGAGAUUCAACAAGACGGGGAUGAAAAACAUCCUUCCCGAUUCCAUGGCCCAGUCUUCCUCCAGAUUCUUCACCCCAAGUAAAAAUCUCGCCUUGCCUUGUCACAAACGCAGCAUGCCUGACACCACAGGCAAUCUGAUGAACAUCCAAGACAAUGUUAGACUCCAACGGCUUAGGCAGAAGGACAUCCGUUCUUGUGGUCAGAUAACUUGCAUUCUUAUCAAUCCCGACCUUAACGACACUGUCACAUAUAACCUCACCCCAAAUAUAAACGUCACCUAGCGCAUCAGAUUCAUCUGCUGCAGAACCGUGACUAGAACUACUUUGGGCACUCGAGACACUAACCCGAAAACCAUCUGAACCAGCAGAUACCUUUGUUUGCAUGUUUUUGGUUUCCAAUGCCACAUGUGAUUUCUCUGAACCAGUUAAAGGAACUUCAGGCUCAGCACUCUUAGGAGAAGCAACUGGAUCGAAAUUAAAGGGAGUCCCAGGAGAGCUGUGACCAAGUGAAGCGCUCGCAGAACUGCUGCUUGGACUGCUCGAUGUCAAGUCUCUGCUGGCCUGAAAAAAUAAUAUAUUUCAUAUCAACCAAAGAGUUCAACAGACAGAAGUCCUGAGAAAAAGACAUACACAGAGUCCUUGCCUGAAUACUUACAUCAACUGAAAUAUUUCCGCCACUCCAGCCAUCAAUUUUUGAGCGCCCGCCUUGCCCACUCGAUAUUAAUGAUUUAAGGCCUCCAAUCCAAAUUUCAGCCUCAACCUUGUCCUUACAAAUCUAUUAAGAAUUAUGAUGCCUGGAGUUAUUAUCAAGUGUUGCUGAAAUGAUUGUCGAAAUACACCAGUUUCACGAUGACUAACCAAGUCAAGAGACUUCUUUUUUCCGUUGUAUAAGAGAGAAAAGGAUAAGUAAUCUUUCUCUGGGCGAAGGUAACGCUGGAAAACAGCCUAUUGCAAAAGAUUAGAUAGUUUCUUAGAUAUGCUUGAAAGCCAGGAGGAAUUCUUUAUCUUUCCAAAUAGAUAAGAGUUUUCAUAUCAAGAACUGUGCAGAAAAGAAGACGUCUUACAGUUCUUUGCCCAGGGAUAAUUUUAGAUACAGAGGCUAACUUUAGUCGCUUUUCACCGCUACUCGAUAUCCAGAUCAAAGAUUUUUCAUCCUGUACAACCAACACCAACGAGCAUAACUUUUGUUUUUUUCUUUCUCAGAUGAAGCAAUUGUCCGAAAAACAAGUGUAAAAGAGAAGUGGUUGAGCAGACAGCAACUCACACUAGACAGUCUAAAAGGAUAAAAUUUCGGCUUUCCUUUCCGACCAUAUUUCAAAAGUUGUGUUCCCUUCUUCAAUGUAACCAAUGCCUGCCAAAAUGUACAAGAUCCGCGUAAGAAAACGGGGACUAGCUACAGGUAACACCAAGUUUAAGACUGCAUAUGCCCUUGCAUCACCAAGUUUCAAUGGUCAUUUUACACGGAAGUUUCAAAAACAACAAUUGACUAUAAUUCCAUUCUUCGAUUGAUCUAUUUUCCUAUAGCUUACAAUGCCAAGGUCUUGCUUAUUCCAUAAGCCUAAAAGAGUUCACUAGAAAAACAAAUUCAAUACACAUGUUCUAUAAGGACAAAUGACACGGGAAGAAUGAGGAAAACUCACACAAACAAUCCCCCCAAACUACACUGAGAAUUCGGGUUUCAAAUCCGGUGAUAGAUUCUUGGGAAGAAAUCAUUGUUACCAAAGAACAACAAUAAACAGAGACUUGAGAUUUGCUGGAUUUUUCGGAAAAAAAAGUUGAACAAACAAAACAAAACUCCAAACUUCCAACUUUGAACUUCCUCUUAAUCACCCCACUUCAAUCGCUGAAUGCGUAAUAAAUAAUAAUUACUCUGUAGUAACAAGAUUUAAGCUUUCUACUGCUUAGAACAAAGGAUUAUUCCCAAGUGAUCGUAAACUUUGCAAAAUUGAAAGAGAAGAAGAAAGAUGGAGAGAGAGAGAGAGAGAGAGAGAGAGAGAGACGAACCUGUUCAACGUUUUGGUCAGCAUUACUGUAGGUCACAAGAUCUGCCAUUCCAUGUGAAAAAAUCACCAGAGCACCACCACCCUCUUCGAUCCUUACCCGACGGGUCGUUCAUCAUCUAUACGAAAAAGCCCCGGAGGUCCUAGCCGCCGUGGAAACCAUCAAUAAAAGCCGUGACCAGCCAGUGAACCAGUUGCAAGAGAAUUAGAGAGAGAGAGAGGGAAACGUAAACGAAAAGCUUAAAACUUUCAAGCAAGAUGGCACUGUAAUUGACCUCCCAGAUCUACCGAUGCUUCUCCAAGAACGAAACUUUAAUAAUAAAAAUGCUAUACGAUCUUCAGAAUUCCCCUCCAGGAGUUAAAUUUGAUUCGCAAGUGCUGCUUUCGUAUGCUGUGAGAAACAAUUCGCCUCUCCGGCGAAACAAAGGACGACCUACCGGAGAAAAUAGUGGUGGGGAGAGAGAAAAUCCCGGCGGAGAAAAACGACGGAAAAGCAAAAAGGAACAAGGAGGAAGACAAGGAAGUCAGAGACAGCGAUGACAGAAUGAAGAGAGAGAAACAAAAAAAAAGAAGAAAAGAAAGUGACGACGGUGUGAGCGACGCAGUCAGAGACUGUAAAAUACCAAUAUAAAUAAAUAUAUACUCCUUUUUAACAUAAAUUUAUAUACUUCUAUUUAUUACUACUAAUAAAUAAAGAAACUGUCUAAUUAAAAACUCUUCUAUUCAGAAUUAUUUGAUGUUUUAUAAGGUUUUUUUAUUUAGAAUUAUUUGAUGUUCUCACUUUUCAAUGUCAAAUUUAAUGAAUUUUUAUAAUUUUUAACUUUUUAUAUUCUGCAGAUUGUUUUCUUAUUGGCGGAAUGAUAUUUAAAUGGAUUAUAAAUAAUAUCUUUAGUAUAAGAAAAAUAAAAAUUAAAUAAAUUCUUAAACUGUGUGCAAAAACAUUAUACAUCAAAUCAUUCUGAAAAGAGAGUAUUUUAUUCUGUUUUUCUUUUGGUACAAAACUUCUUAAAAUAAUUUAAUAUUUUUUAAAAAAUAUAGAGAGAAGAGGCAUCCCUAUAAGACUCUAUUAAGGCUAGUGAAAAACAAAAAAAAAAAGAGAAAAAGAAAAGUAAAGAGGCGUUCCCCAUGCAGUAGUACAUUCGAGUAAAUCAAACUUUUAUAGAAUCUUUAAAAUAAGCAUGUUUUGAUUACAAAAAGCACAUUUUGGUUUGUAACUUGAAAGAAAUGUGCUUGGGAGGUGAACGAGAAACCUAAAUUUUGGUGUUUGGGUGAAUAAUGGUUAGAGAUGGUCUAAGAUUUCAAAGAAGUAAAAGUAAUGCACACAAACAAAUCACAAAGUCGAUUAUGAUCUAAGUCCGAAUUGAUUCACACAAAUAAUUUUUUUCAGUAUCAACAAUUUUUAUCAUUAGUUGUAAUAAGGGAAUGCGAUACAUCCAUCGUAUACGUAUCUGUUUUAGAGCUAACAAGAAGACCAUUGAACAAGACAAUCCACAAUGUCAACUAAACCAACUUUUAAUCCGUUCUGAGUUUUUUAAAAACACUCUUAAUUAAAUAGCUAUCUGCAGCGUUUGUUUAUGGAAAUUUGUGUUUGUUUAAACAUGAAUAACAUUGUUGACUUUCUUGCUUGAGAAUGGAAUAUUAAUUAAUUUAAUCGUCGUCUAAAAAUGAGUUUUUUCAAAGGAUACUUCCGGUUUAGAUCAUAGCGCGGAUUUAAUUAUGUCGGUUUAGUUAGUCCGAUCUGAAACUCACGCGCUAAAUUGAGGUCUAUAAUGGUCAUUUUUAAAGAGGAAGCAGUUUAUUCUUCGCCGCAGACACGUUGAACGCUAGUUGUCGAUUGUACUGAAAAGACAAAAACACCCCUAAGGGAGGUAAGUGGGCCUGUUUGGUUUGGUCCCUACCUCCACAUUUCGGGGAGUUAGUCGAGGAGAAUGUAUCACUUUUGGAUGAAAACAAUAAUAUGCAUCUCCAAUUUCUCUACUUUUUCAUCUUCUUCAUUAAUCAAUUGAUUAUUGUUAAUACUAUGAUUUAUUAUUUCUUUGUGUAACAUCCUUUAACUUCACCGACGAAUUAUAUAAUUUGUGGAUAUAAACGAAUAUGCAUGUGAUUUGUUUGGCAGCAAUACAUAAUUACAUAGGAUCUAGCUCGUCUCGACAUUGUAAAAGCAAAUCGAAACCUUGGAUUGGAUGAUGCACGCCCAAGAACCAAGACACAAAGUUGUAGUUCAAUUUUCCAUACAUAUGUAUUGAAUACGCUUUAUUAUAUAUUAAUAUAUUAUAAUACAUUAUCAUGGAUGUUCAAUUGUAUAUGUCCUUUAGACUUAAAAUCAACAUCUCAUUAACAAUUUAAAAAAAAAAAAAAAAAAAUCAACAUCUGAACUACAUCUUAGAUUGGGAAAAAAUGCACCUUGAAUGGAACAAUAUACAAAAUUGUCUUCCGGAACUUUGUGACUAAGUAGUAAUUAAAGACACACAUCAUAUACUAAGACGAAGAAUAUUUUUUUUUGGAAAAAUAGCUCAUGUUGAAGUUUAUUGAAGCGUCAAUGCGUCAUGAGAUCUCAUUAUAAUACCACUUGAAACAUAUCAGCCUAGUAAUUAUGUUAUUGGUGUUUUGAGAAAUUGAGGGUUAAAAUGGAUUAGAGGACCCAUGAGAAGCUCAAGAUAGUGUCUCAUGAAAAAUUGAAAAGUCUUUAACAAAAAAGGUCUCAUGAAAAGUCCAUUAACCUAUAAUAUUAGGGUUCUUAGCAAGUAAAGAUUCAUAUAAUUUUGGAUUUAGAACAUCAAUAUAAUGUAAUUCUGGGAGUUGCCAAAAAGCAACUCAUUUCUGUCUGAAUUGUAUGAUAUGUAGCAAUCAACAAUCUUUUAGUUUUUGGUGACACACCUAUAUCUUUUCCUUUUUUAUUUUAUGCAUUUGAAUAAAGCUUAUCAGUGAGCUAUUUCUAUUUCAUUCUCAGAAAAGCUUUUUGAGUAUAAAUCUAUUUUUGUUUUGAAUCCGCUAGCAACAAUUAUUAGUAAAAGUAGGUUCCAUAUCACAAAAGAAAACAACUAAUAAAAUCAUGUCUUUGAUGUAAUAACAAAAGAAAUUUUGAUAAAAUUGAUGUAAGAACAAGGAAUGCGAUGAUAGAUUGUAUGAUUGGACUUUAGAGCAAAUAAAUGAAUAAAUGAUGAUUAAGGCAAAGGCUUGAGAAGACAAGAAAUGAAAGCUUUAACAAAAAAAAGAGAAGAAAUGAAAGUUUGGGUUUAACGAAAAAGAAAGGCUCGAAGGAAACAUGGAAAUCUACUUGCUUUGUUGGUUGUUGUGUAUGGGCCCCUCUCUCUUUACGUAUGACAUCUCCUCAUUUUCUACCUAUAUACACUUGUACAUAAACAAAUAAAAAUCUUAAUAUUUUGUCGUGAUAUUUGUCAGCUAUUAAAUUGCUUAUUCAAAAGUUCAUUCAUUGUGAUUCUGCAUGUCACCAAGUCAUAAAUACUACCAGACAACAUCAAAGUAUAUUUUGUUCUUGAUACUCCUUAAGAAAGCACCUACAACAUAUACACACGCGACAAUCCGUGAUUCACCUUAAUUACACACAAUUCAAUAAUCAGAUUGUAAAUGCUGCAUUAGUAAUGUAUUCGAAAUCCUUAUCGAGGACAAUACAUUGUUGGACACCUUCAAAACAGAAUUUGGAUUGAAACCGGGUCAUAUGGGCCCAAAAAGACAAAUUUUGUUUAAAUGGGUCUACGAUUCGAUGAUAUAGUGGCCCGUUAAACCGGCGCGGUACGGAUCGGGUCGUUGAGAAUCGGAUCUUUAACUGAAGCUGGGGAGCCAUGAAUGUCAAUCACCAAUCUCGAGGUCGAUCAAGGAGCGAUUCGAAAGAGAAGAGCGAGCGAGAUAGAGCUCUGUUGUAUUUGAAACCAGAUAGAAUCGAAGCUAUCCACUGGAAAUAGGGCUUUUGUUCUUCUCAAUCUCCUUCUUGUAGCUUGUGAUUCCUGGAUUACCUGUUUUUGUCAACUUCCAUGGCGGAUGGAUACUGGAAUCAGCAGCGACAGCAUCCUCCUCCUGGUGGUCCUCCGAAACGUCGCCGUUCCGAUUUCGGUAAGCUCAUUUCUCUUAUACUCUCGCUAGUUGGUUUCUCGAUAGCUAGAAGAAGCACAAUACGCAGUUUCAACAACUCUUUGAUUGAGGCCACAAUUGAGCACCUUGAUGAUGAUGAUCAAUAUAGGAUACAGAAACACAUGGGGAAUAGUCUGCUUUAGAUAGAUAAACCCUUCCCGUAAAUAAAUCUCCAGAUUCUGCAUUUUGUCUUCGCAGAGGCUCUACCAUCUGCAAUGCCUUCAGGCCAUGAGAUGCACGGUGGUUAUUUUCCACGGGAUGAGGAUCUUGAUGUUCCCGAUACUAGAACUAUUGGGUCUGCUUAUGAUCGCUACCUACAAAGCGUGGUGGUACCAUUCUUAUUGAUUCAUUUCAGUAUAAUCUUCUGGUCCAUUCUUCUUUCUUUGUUGACCUGGUUCAUUUUUCCUUUGUUCUUGAUGAAGCAAACACCUUCUAUGCAAUCUGGAGAAGCAGGUCAUCGUAAUGGUGUAGCCAUUGGAAGAACAGGAGGUAACGGGCAAUCAAUGGGUGAGUUUAUGAUGAGACGUGGUGGAGUUCUCCCUCCAGACCACGGUCCAGAUGGUCGUGCUUUGGGUUUUGAUCCACAAGAAUCUGUUGAUAGGCGUAACCGUGAACCACUUCCUCUACCUCCAGAUGCAUCCAACACUCUAUAUGUUGAAGGACUUCCUUCUAAUUGCUCAAGGAGGGAAGUAGCUCGUAUCCUAUUUCAUGACAAGUUUUCUUUUUUUCCUUUUCUCGAAACUAACCUUAACGGAAACUAUCUUCUCUCCACUUUCCUUAACCGAGGUCUAGAUAUAUUUCGACCUUUUGUAGGAUAUAGAGAAGUGAGACUUGUGACCAAAGACUCAAAACAUGCAAGUUUCCUUGCUUCACUCACAGUUCGGAUAUUGUUGAAAUCGCUUGUACCAGAAAUUAUAUUACUUUGAUAAACAUACUAAAGGGUUUGUAUUUAUGGUUAAUGCAGCGGAACGGAGAUCCUAUUGUUCUUUGCUUUGUUGAUUUUACAAACCCUGCCUGUGCAGCGACUGCUCUGAGCACCUUACAAGGUAAGUAAUAAUCUUACGAAAUCUCUUUCCACUUGAUUUCUCGUUCUCCUGGCUUCUUAUUCACAUUUAUCUUUAGGUCUGUUUUCAUUGUGUAACCUUUUUCAGUUGGAUUGUCUUGCUAUUUGCUAUAGCCUGAGCCUUAAGUGGCAAAUGCCCUCUCGUCCCUUAAACCAUAGACUUUAUCCCCUGUGCAGCUAUGCUCUAUAUCUCAUUUUCUUUUAAAAACCAACACAUUUCGCAGGCUAUCGAAUGGAUGAGAGUGAGCCUGAUUCGAAGUUCUUACGGCUCCAAUUUUCAAGAAAACCAGGUUCAAGACCAGGACAACGAGGAAGAAGGUAAUGACUCAGGGACAUUGAGGUACAUCAACCAAAUGAAUUUAUUGUUUCUCGUCGGCUGGUUUUAACGGAAAGAGCCAUCCUCGUUCAAGUAGAAACUCAAUGAAACCGAACAUUACAUCACUUGUUGUAUCGUUGAAGCUACCUGAAUCCUGAGAAACAAAGAUGCGUGGAGAGUGUAGAAUCUGAGGUGAUAGAACCUUAAAAUGCUAUUUUCACACAUAUAAUAUAUAUAUAUAUAUAUAUAUAUAUGUAUAUUAUUUUUGUUCCCUCCUUCUGUUAUAAAGUUGUGUUGUCGAUAUCAAAAUGUUUAUUACAAAAAGCUUGGUUUAAUAGAAUUUUAUACGAAGAGGAUUUUCUAUGGCUAAUAUCAAUAAAACAUUAUUUGCUCUGCUUUCUUCAUAAGCACUGUUUUUUUUUACCUUCGUUGUCAAUUCAUAUUUUGACUUGUAUUCCUCUCCUUUUUGUUUUCUCCUCCAGUUUAGAAAAUGAUUGAUUUUUUUUUUUUGGUCUUUCAAUAAUUCCUGUCUAUGUAUUAGAUGAAGACGUGUUUCGGGUGUGCUGUAGUCAGGGACGACUUGUGUGAUAUUUGAGAUAAGUUGUAAAAGAUUAUUUAUUUAAAUCAUUUUGUCGUCUAAAUAAUGUAAUGUUAUCUUGUUUCAUUCAUUGUCUGAAUGUGGAAAUUUUCUGUACACUUGGACAAACAAAGAGACGAACAAAAGCCUUAAGAAGACUUCAUGAAACUUCCUUUGCUUCAACAAUUUCUUACCGUCUAAAUUCUACCAUCAUACACAGAGCCAUUUGCUACUCAUAAAAUAGAUGAGGAAAAUUAAUUACACAUUAUCACUAUCAUCAAUUUACGAAAAAUGAUAAUUACUAAUCUCCUUGUCGGAAGAGUCACACCCCAAAAACGUAUAACCAUAACAAUGCUCUACUCCGCGUCUCUUUUUGUAUUACAUAUCAGAUAAUCAGAAAUCUUUCAUGUUUGUUGUCUGUCCCCUUUCACGAUUUUGAACUUCUUCUUUUUUUUUUUUUAAUGUGUACAUGUUGUCGAGUCUUCCCUAUAAAUGUAGGACAUACAUUAUUAAAACUGAAUUUCCCUAAACCAAAAGAAACUACGUUAGGUCUUGGUCUAAUGGUCAGUUAGUCAGUACCUACUAGAUCUGUGCGUGUAGUGCCUUUCACUAUCGUUGAGUCUUUCCUCAAAUUACUUUUAUAUAAGACUUAGAUAAUGAGACAAGACAAAAUUAAUAUAAGGGAUGCAUAACAAAAUUGUUCAGAAAGACGUAUGUAUACUUGUAUAGAAGCCGCCUGGCCCCCACGAAGCAGUGAAGUCUACGAACCCCUUCCAAUGCUUUCACACGGGGAAUUUAUUUGGUAAUAUACUGCAAUGGACAUCUAUAAAAAAAUACUAUAUUGCAAUGAAAAACGAAUAUAUUGUAAACUUCAAUUUUUGAAAAAAAAAAUUGUAAUUGAAGGCAAAUCUUAUAGGUUAUGGGAUCAGGUGAUUCUUGGAAUAAGACUACAUAACAUGUUGAAAUUCUGAACUUAGGAGGAUAUAUUCAUGCUUUGAACCAAAUAUAACUCGCCACAGAUGUAUUUAGAGAAAUACGUACAAUAAUGGUUGCAUUAGGAUUAAACAGAUUAUGGUUCCUUUAGCUUAAACCGAUAACUACCAUCAGCUGUAUGAAUGACAUGAUUCACUACAAAAUAAAUUACUUUUAAACUUUUGGUCAGGUAUAUUUUCUGUAUAAAGAAUAACUUUCUCCACUAGUAUUAGCGAUUCUAUUCCAUUUUUUAUAUGAAAAAUCAAUCAGGGAAAAAUAAAUUUUACUUAGAUUUUUGCAUGAGCUUUUGCUAAAAGUCAUUGAUUUAUUUGGAAUAUCAUUAUGAAAAUCCAAGCACGUCUUUUUUUUUCUCCUUUUAAUAUAAUCAUGAGUGUAAGGGAGAAAGCAAAUAAAGCAACACAAAUUUGAUGUUCUAUUAUUCAAAAAGUAAGUUAGAAAUGCAUGAAAAAAAAAAUUACUGGGAAAAAUACAGAUGAUAAUAGUGAAUCAGUGAUUACAAAUUCCUUUUUUGGUCGACAGUGAUUAAACAUUCAUUUGAAGAAAUAUUUACAUGAAUUAAUCCAAUUUUGGUACACAUUUUUCUUCUUCGUUUAUUGGAACACAUUAAGGUCAGACAAAGUGUGCAUUACGAUAGUAAUAAACUCCAAAGGUUUUUAUUAGGGAGGCAAUAGUAAAAAUUAAUAUGUUUGAAUCGAUGUGUGUUCUUUCUUUUUCAUACAUUCCAAUUUGAAUGUAUAUAUGAUGAAAAUUAUUAUUUAAAGUAUUGAUAUGAAUAUAUUAUCUCCAAAGAGGAGAAAAAGAAAUCAAAUAGCAUAUAUAUAUGCAGCUACGACCCACGUUGGAUAUUACAUAUUACCAAUCAAAUUAAAUACCCUUUUUGGUUACUUUUGUUUUCCGUGGUUGGCUUGGAGCCCUGGACUUUGAAUCACCAAACGAUGUUUGCUUUUACCUAAUUAUCUCACCAAAUUAGAGACUUUUUUGAGUAAAACAGUUUUGAACUUAAAAGAUUCUCACACACUACUAAAAACCGUUUAAAUUUUGUGUGGAAUGCAUACACAUAUAUUGCCGCUAAAGGUAACUUUCUGAUUGUUAAGUAUAUUUUUAUUCUGGAAACAAAUCUAGCAACAAAUAUAUAUAUAUAUAUAUAUAUAUAUAUAUAUAUAUAUAAUAAAAAAUGUUAGUAAUAAUUUAAAAAAAAAAAAAACCCAGCAAGGCAAAAAAAAUUUCCGCAGUUUACGUAUUUUUAUCUUCAUUCCUACUAGUUUUUUUUUUUAGAUCAUUCAUUCCUACUAGUUAUAAACUCAUAAUUAUUACUUGAUUAAUAAAAUUUUAUUAUUAUUAUUGAUAUUGUGUUUCCAUAUGAUUUUCGAACCAUAAAAUAUUUUUUACUCCAUCACUAGUACCAUGUAAAAAUAACAAAGCAUAUUUAAGUUUGUUUAAACCAACUUAUAUAUGACGGUGAUUAUAUAUUUAUAUUAAGUUUGUUUUACGUCAAUUUCUUCAGCCUCAAAAUUGUCAAGAUUAGUUAUUUAACUUUCGACGCCUAACCAAGAUAGUCAACUUUCGAGAAAAAUAAAACUAUAUAGAAUGUUAAGUUGUUGAUUUGUCUAAAUCCUAAUCCAGCUGGUUACUUACCCAUUUGAUAAAAAUUGCUCAAACAUUUAACUUCUAUUAUCUGAGAUGUUUUAUUGUCUAAUGUUUGACCAAGCCUUAACUAAUUUUCAAGAAGACAAUUGGCCUUGAAUUGGAUUAUCCUCCACCUUGUAUAUUUAUUUCUGAAACACCGGUUCGUGAAUCGUGAUAAUGUUAUUAUUUCCCAAUAUGUUAACAUUAUAGUAUAUAAAUUAAGAUACAAUGUAUAUACGUUAUAUCUUUCUCGUUGAGUUGUUUACAUCAUUUCAAAAGUAAGCAUAUUAAAAAGAAACGCGAUAUGCCGAUAUGACUAUUUGAAAAUUUCAAAUGCUAUUAAAAAUUUUGGUCAUAACAUCUAUUUAUCUUGUCUGAAUCUUAAAACGUAAUAUUAGAUUCGAGUUAAUGUUGAUCAAACAAUAAUUAGAAUAAGAGAUUACAAAUGAAUCUGAGUAAUGACAAGAAACGUGUUAUAAAACGAAGAACGUGUGAGGCAAAACCCCAAAAAACAAAGCAGAAAAUAAAUCAAAGAUUGACUGUCACCGGCACGAGAGAGAAUCAUCUGCAUGACGGACCACCUUCUCUUUCUAUGUUCCUUCUACAUUCAACUCGGCCGCCUAUCUUUUAAGAUUUUAACGCGUUCCUUCUUUAUUUGUUCUUGUCAAGAACAAAUUAAAAUAGGAUGUCAAAGAUAAACUCGAAAUUUGAUUUUUCUUUUACUUUUGAACAAUGUAGUUCGUAGUUAAAGAAAGAAAAAAAAAACCUAUUCAAACUCGUAUAUUGUAUUUUGUUGAAAAUAAAAUAAAAAAUAUUUGGAUAUAGAAAAAAUAGUAUUUCAUGUGCUGGUAAUGGACGAAUGCUUGUUUACAGCAUUCAGAAUGUGUAAUUCUCUCGUUUGUUCCCCUCUGUGGGAUCAUCUAUCUUUUUUACGCACCAUUUUCUAGAAUAAUGUCGGUCAUUUUUGAUUUUUAUAGUUCCUCUAAUAUAUUAUGGUAAAAUUCUGUUACCUGUAGAUUCAAUUCAAUGUUCUCUAUAUUUUAUUUGAUAUGAACAUGCAGAACAUAUCGAUCAACGAUGACCAAAAUUAUAGAAGGGGAAAAAGAAAAUCAAUAAUGUAGCCCGAAAGAGACUAACCUCAUUUUCUUUCUUUGUAUUAUAUAUUCAAUCAUUAUUGUUUUUCUUACAUAUGACAUAAAUUGCCAUUUACCAUGAGCGAUCGAAGUUAAAAAAAAAAAAAAAACCGAGAAAGUGAAAUUGAAAAGCUAUAUAAAGGGUGUGAAGGGGAGAGAGUAGAGCAUCAAACACAAAGAGAAACACAUAGAAAAUGGGGUCACCAAUGGCUUCUUUGGCAGCAACUUUGCUUGUCUUAGCAUUCUCUCUUUGUUUUGUAUCGGAAACCACCGCAAAUUACUACUACUCUUCUCCUCCUCCACCGGUCAAACACUACACUCCUCCGGUUUACAAAUCUCCACCACCACCGGUUAAGCAUUACUCUCCUCCUCCGGUUUACAAAUCCCCACCUCCUCCCAAGAAACACUACGAGUACAAAUCACCUCCACCACCGGUUAGGCACUAUUCUCCUCCUCCGGUUUACAAAUCCCCACCCCCACCAAAGAAGGACUACGAGUACAAAUCUCCUCCUCCACCGGUUAAACACUACUCUCCUCCUCCGGUUUACAAGUCUCCACCACCACCAAAGAAGGACUACGAGUACAAAUCACCUCCACCACCGGUUAAGCACUACUCUCCUCCUCCGGUUACAAAUCUCCNNNNNNNNNNNNNNNNNNNNNNNNNNNNNNNNNNNNNNNNNNNNNNNNNNNNNNNNNNNNNNNNNNNNNNNNNNNNNNNNNNNNNNNNNNNNNNNNNNNNUCCACCUCCACCAAAAAAAGGACUACGAGUACAAAUCCCCUCCACCACCGGUUAAGCAUUACUCUCUCCUCCAGUUACAAGUCCCCACCUCCUCACCAAGAACACUACGAAUACAAAUCACCUCCUCCUCCGGUUUACAAGUCCCCUCCUCCUCCGGUUUACCACUCUCCACCACCUAAGAAGCAUUACGAGUACAAAUCUCCUCCUCCACCGGUUUACCAGUCUCCUCCUCCUCCGGUUUACCACGCUCCCCCACCACCAAAGAAACAUUACGAAUACAAAUCUCCUCCACCACCGGUUUACCAGUCUCCCCCUCCUUUGGUUUACCACUCUCCUCCACCACCCAAGAAACAUUACGAGUACAAAUCACCUCCUCCACCGGUUUACCAGUCUCCCCCUCCUCCAGUUUAUCAUUCUCCUCCACCACCGGUUUACCAAUCUCCCCCUCCUCCGGUUUACCACUCUCCUCCAC